GUUUGGAACAUUGCAAGCUGUUUAACAACUUGUAACAAGCUUGAUGGCAUUAUCAGACCUAUUACAAGGUUGUUCUAACGAGCCUGAUACAGUUAUGAUAUAACACGAAUGUUACAUGGUUGACAACACAAGGUUGUAACAGUAUUAUUAUAUCAUGAUUUUAUCGGACUUGUUGGAACAACCUUGCAACAAGUGAUAAUGCCAUCAAGCUUGUUACAAGUUGUUAACGGCUUAUUCCAAAC
rnacentral:miRNA from 1 species